ensembl:lncRNA
GCGCCGUAGAGCGAAAAAAGCAGCAGAGCAAUUUUGUUCGGGCUAACCCAAGGAUUGCAACGAUGCCAUGUUUUUGAGUCUACGACAAACGGUUUACGAGCUACAGCCAAAAAUGUCUAAAAUUUUUGUUUUUUGCGCUGUAGCGCCCCCGUUUGGCCGAUUGGGGCGAGACUUUGAUAGGUUCUCCCCAAAUUGAGCUCUACAAUCUGGCCAAAUUUCAAGUCUCUAGGCCUUACGGUUUGGUCUGCACGAUCAGUUUUAGGGCAGAAGAAUAAUAAUAAUAAUAAUAAUAAUAAUAAUAAUAAUAAUAAUCCUAACAAUUACAAGAGGGUUUCAGCACUGCGUGCUUGAACCCCUAAAUAUAGCUGCAAGCAGCAAUUACCGGGGUUCAAGCACUUUAAGACCUUUGGGGUGGUCUUGGCCAACCUGGAUGUAUGGCUGACAGUUAAACACAUCCAAAAUGGAGAAUAGGCUCACAGACACACAACACACACUGAAAUUAAAUGAUUAAACUUGUAUAUUAAUGCUCUAUAAGCAUAUUCACAUAGACACACAUACACACAAAUACACACACAUACACAGAUAUACAUGCACACACAUUUUGAUAUUUGAAAUAAGUGAUAGGUGAUACAAAACUUAUUGCAAGUCUUUUCUUUUAAGAGUUUAGAUGUCAUUUUCAGGUUUCACUCUAAUCAUAAUCUGACAAAAUUGUAAAAACUGAUAUUUCUGUAUGAACAAAAUCGUUAACUUUGACUCAAUGAGAUUUAAAAUAUUAUAACAGUGAUAUUAUAAUGUUUAAGCAUGAAUCCAUCAAACCUUUGA